rnacentral:rRNA from 1 species
GACGAACGCUGGCGGCGUGCCUAAUACAUGCAAGUCGAACGCUGAAGGAGGAGCUUGCUCUUCUGGAUGAGUUGCGAACGGGUGAGUAACGCGUAGGUAACCUGCCUGGUAGCGGGGGAUAACUAUUGGAAACGAUAGCUAAUACCGCAUAAGAGUAGAUGUUGCAUGACAUUUACUUAAAAGGUGCAAUUGCAUCACUACCAGAUGGACCUGCGUUGUAUUAGCUAGUUGGUGGGGUAACGGCUUACCAAGGCGACGAUACAUAGCCGACCUGAGAGGGUGAUCGGCCACACUGGGACUGAGACACGGCCCAGACUCCUACGGGAGGCAGCAGUAGGGAAUCUUCGGCAAUGGACGGAAGUCUGACCGAGCAACGCCGCGUGAGUGAAGAAGGGUUUCGGAUCGUAAAGCUCUGUUGUAAGAGAAGAACGAGUGUGAGAGUGGAAAGUUCACACUGUGGCGGUAUCUUACCAGAAAGGGACGGCUAACUACGUG